UCGGACGGCGGAAGCGCUUCUAGUUUCCCUCUGAUGUCUCUCAGGGGUUGGAGUUGGGGGAAGCCUAGUUCGGAAGUGGGUAGUUAAGAAGGCUGUGAGAAGCCUAGUUCGGAAGUGGGUCGUGGGAGCGAGCAAGCAAGCAAGCUUUCAGAAAGGAAGAAGCUGACUAAGGAUGUUGGGGAAUACCUUAAUGUGCAACCUGACAGAACAUUUCUCAAAUAACAGCCUUAUUUAAGAAGUUGGAUGUAGUGUGCCUCCAAACGCUAGUUGCAGAAGAACAAUGAUGGAAUAUCUCCUGUUUGU